GUCUGUUUCUGUUCUCACCGCCAUCUUCCCUUCUUUGUUUCUUCCCCUGAUUAUACUGGGAACUCCAGCAGAGGGAGUGUGAAGUCUCUUCCACUAUAACCCGCCUGCACUGUGGUAGGUGACGUGAUGGCCAAUUGCUUAAGGUCUUAUAAAGUCCAACCCUGAAUUCAUCCAUUCCUUCAUUUACAUAAUAAAUAUUUAUUGAGUCCCUAUUAUGUGUCAGACACCGGGAGAAAAGAAAAACAUUUAAGUAAAAAAUAGUUUCUAGUCUCACAAAGUUUGCUACCACUUGAAGAGACAGAUAGGUAAAAAAGGUCUGCAAUGAGGAAUAUCGUACGACAGACAUUUUAUGGAGUGGGGGGGCUCUGCAUGGAGACUUCAGGGAAGGUGAUGUUGGGAGUGAAUCCUAAAGAAGGGGUGGAGCAUAAUGGAGAGAUAAGACUUGAGGCUGAGCAGGCCAGGCUACAACAAGAUACACAGAAUUAAAUUUGAAGGCUUUAAUGCCAGGAAAUGACAUCAUCAGCUAUUUGUGUUCUAGAACGUACACUCAGGUUCAGUGUGAAGGAGGGACUGACUGGAGGCAGGGAGCCCUGCCCAGUGAUUUGCCUCUGUUCUUCCCUGGAGUUCUACCUUUGGGUUCUAACUCCCACUGCUGAGAAUGACCGGCCAGCGGUGCUGUCAGCAACUUCCCCUUGAGACAUCUUAUCUGUAGUUUUCAAACUAAUUCUUCAGAGCUGCAUAACCCCAAAAGAUGUUUCUAGAAUCUCAUCAGGUGGAAAUGAGAGGCCAAGCAGAGAGACUGAGAACAGUUCCACUUUCCUCUGUGUUGUAGACUAAGCCUUCAGGGGAUUCACUGCCCUGAAUGUAAUGCACCUUAGAAUCUGGACACAAAGCCCUGAAGUUCGAAACAAGGAACCAGAGGAGAAUAAAUCAGAAAAAGAGAGGAGAAACUGUGGCAGAGAUGCUGAGCUUCUUUCCUGUCCCCUUACGUCAUCAAGAUGAGCCACUUGUGGAGCACAAUGAAGAAUGCCCAAAGCAGUCUGAGGGGCGAGCCAUCUGUGACCGUCACCCCUUAACAGGUGGUUCGGAGCAUGAUUUGGGCAGUGGACCCGUGUGGCGUCCGUGGUGACCCAGUGCUACGGUUUGGGUCUGGAUGCCCCUCCAGGGUCUCACAUGCUUAGAGGUAGGACUUUUGGAAGCUGACUGGACUACUAAGGCCCUACAGGAUACUUGCUGUGAGGAGGUGGGGCCUCGUUAGAGGCCAGUCCCUGGGGGUGUGAGCUGCCUAGAAGGGUACAUGUCCCUCCCUAAUUCCUCUCUUUGUUCUCUGCUUCCCGGUCACCAUGACAUAAGCAGUUUUCUUCUGCCCAGAACCUUUUGCCAUGUGUUCCUGUGUUUAAAUCUGCUGAACAUGGACUAAAGCUUCUGAACGGAAAAUCCAGGCACUGAUACCAGCACUGCUCACAGCAUUUAAGUCAAGACAAUUGACAUGUGUCGUCCAACACCUGAGGACGUGACAUCGACAGUGAUUCUGAGUCAGUCACAGCAUCGGAAGUCUGGAAGAGAUCUGCUCGCCACAGACAGCACAUGACUGCAGACCUAACGCCACGUAACACAGGAUCUUCUCUCUGGGGUGGGGUGGGGUAAACAGGGACUCCCCCCACAGACCAGAAUGAAGACAGCCACUUCUCGGCAGAGACGUGGAAGCAGAACUCCAGGC